rnacentral:rRNA from 1 species
AGCGAACGCUGGCGGCAGGCCUAACACAUGCAAGUCGAACGAACUCUUCGGAGUUAGUGGCGGACGGGUGAGAAACACGUGGGAACGUGCCUUUAGGCUCGGAAUAACUCAGGGAAACUUGUGCUAAUACCGAAUGUGCCCUUCGGGGGAAAGAUUUAUCGCCUUUAGAGCGGCCCGCGUCUGAUUAGCUAGUUGGUGAGGUAAAGGCUCACCAAGGCGACGAUCAGUAGCUGGUCUGAGAGGAUGAUCAGCCACAUUGGGACUGAAACACGGCCCAAACUCCUACGGGAGGCAGCAGUGGGGAAUCUUGCGCAAUGGGCGAAAGCCUGACGCAGCCAUGCCGCGUGAAUGAUGAAGGUCUUAGGAUUGUAAAAUUCUUUCACCGGGGACGAUAACGACGGUACCCGGAGAAGAAGCCCCGGCUAACUUCGUGCCAGCAGCCGCCGUAA